ACCUUAAGGAAAAGAAGGUAUAACAUAAGGUAUUUUAGCGUAGAAAAAUAGUGAGGGACAUUUGAGUACAUUUCAAAAACAUUCUGGAAAAUGCUGUGCAGCGGGUGUAAGCAGGCGAGUCGAGAGAACGUCAGGGAGAAUUUAUGGCAAUGCCACUUGGACAAACCUUGUGUCGAAGACGAAUAGCCAUGUACAGAGGCGAUAUCCUUGACGGUUAUAAUUCCAUCAUUGUGACACAUAAUGUCUGAAUAACGAAUCCACUGUUUACAGGCGCAAGAUAAGCGCACGCAUAGCGCGCUUAACUUAUGCGUAUUAGAAUCCGAAACGUGUUUGUGUUGCGACAAAGUUUGUCCUAAACGAUUUGCCGUAAACGGUGCUGCAGCCCGUGAAUUAGCAGAAUAAGCUACCGAUAUGCACGGUACAAAAAGAAAAAAAAGAUUAAACCCUUGGAAAUCCCAUUCUCUCUUCUGAAUUACAACCGAACUCACCGCAGCCUCGAUGCAGAGGACAGCAGAUUACGAGGAUGAUUUCUUCGGAGCAAAAGAGGACAACGACGCUGUUUUGGAGAAGUCCCGAGUUGGCUGGACCAUAGCAGAUGUCAGUGAAGAUGUUUGUACUGGGUGGCAGGAGCCAGAGUCCACCCACAUUAAGAAGGAAGUGGAUGAUGAAGAGCGCCCCUGCAGUCAAAAAAUGGAGGAGGCAGACCCCCUGCUCAUGAAAAAGGAGGACGAAGGGCACACUCACAUCAAAGAGAAGGAAGAGCUCCUCCAAACCAAGGGAUAUGAAGAAAAGCUUCUCCACAUCAAAGCUGAGGAUGAGGAGCAGAAUGUAUGCAAGUUGUCUUUGACUGCUGUCCCUUUAAAAAGUGAAGAUGAGGGCCAAAGUGAAGCGAGCAGAGGGGUGGGGCCUCCAGGCAGCAGCUCAUGUCAUCACGUGACAUCAGAAAGUGAUGGAGGAUCAUUUGCAGAUGGUCUCUUAGCUCCACCAUCGGGUGGUGAAGACAUGACUCCAUGCUCUACUGAGACUGAUGCUAAAGCAUAUGAAGGUGAUAUGACAUGUGAAACUGACAAACGCUGGAAAUGUUCGCAGUGUGGGAAAACGUAUGCUUGUGCCAGCAGUUUGAAGAGGCAUAUGAUUUGCCAUUGUAUUGAGAAACCUUAUCCAUGCUCAUUAUGUGGCCGAAGAUUCUCUCAGAAGGGAACCUUAAAAAAACACAUAAGAACACACACUGGUGAGAAACCUUAUGUCUGCUUGGUGUGUGAGCAAAGAUUCACCCGGAAGGAAAGCUUAAAAUGUCACACAAGAACCCAUACUGGUGAGAAACCUUUUGCCUGCUCAGUUUGUGGCCAAAAUUUCUCAGAGAAGGGAUACUUAAAAAGACACAUGAGAAGACACACUGGUGAGAAACCUUUUGCCUGUUCAGUUUGUGACCAAAGGUUCUCUGAGAAGCGAACCUUAAAAAUACACAUGAAAACGCACACUAGUGAGAAACCUUUUGCCUGUUCAGUUUGUAACCAAAUAUUCUUUGAUAAGGGGCAGUUAAAAAUACACACAAGAACCCACACUGGUGAGAAACCUUUUGUCUGUUCCGUUUGUGGCCAAAGAUUCUCUCAUAAGGGACAUUUAAAAACGCACACAAGAAUCCACACUGGGGAAAAACCCUUUCCUUGCUCAGUUUGUGGUCAAAGAUUCUCCGAGAAGGGAAGCUUAAAAUUACACACAAGAACACAUACUGGUGAGAAACCUUUUACCUGCUCAGUUUGUGGACAAAGAUUUUCUCAGAAGGGAAGCUUAAAAUUGCACACCAGAACACACACUGGUGAGAAACCCUUUACCUGCUCAGUUUGUGGACAAAGAUUCUCGCAGAAGGGAGGCUUAACAAUACACACAAGAACACACACUGGUGAGAAACCCUUUGCCUGCUCAGUUUGUGGCCAAAGAUUCUCUUGGAAACAACACUUAAAACGUCAUAUAAACACACACACUGAUGAGAAACCUUUUCCGUGCUCAGUCUGUGAUAAAAGAUUCUCCCUGAAGGGAUAUUUGACAGCACACAUGAGAACGCACACUGGUGAGAAACCUUUUGUCUGCUCAGUUUGUAACAAAAGGUACUUGACAAAGGAACAAUUGACUGAACACACAAGAACACACCCUGAUGAGAAGCCUUUUUCCUGCACAGUUUGUGGUCAAAGAUUCUCUGAGAAGGGAAGCUUAAAAAGACACACAAGAACCCACACUGGUGAGAAACCUUUUGCCUGCACAGUUUGUGACAAAAGAUUCUCUCUGAGGGGAAGCUUAAAAAUACACACAAGAACCCACACUGGUGAAAAACCUUUUUCAUGCACAGUCUGUGGCCAAAGAUUCUCUCACAAGAUAUCUUUAAAGCGUCAUAAAAAAAGACACAUCGGUGAGAAAACCUUUUCCUGCUCAAUUUGUGGCAAAAGCUUCUCGUGGAAGUAUCAGGUUAAGAAUCACAAGUGUGUUGGUGAGAUGAGCAGUCAUCAGUGAAGUUUUGGCUUCUUAUCUGAGCAGACUUAAUCAGUUCAUGCUCCAAGGAUGGCUGAAUUCAAUGCAGCGUUUUGCAAGGUUGCUCGGAUUCUAUUUUUCUUUGUUGGAGUGAAAUAUCAAGUGAAAAUGUUGUAAGUCUUUAGAUCGUUAAUUCAUUUUCAUUUGUACGUUUUCAAUUUGCUUUAUUGCAAUUUUUUUAUGUUUUCACAAUAUAAUGGCUUCUGUGUCAGUGCUGCCUCAUAUAAUCAUGUCUCAGGUAACAGUUAAAAAUGUAUGAUGGCAAAUAAUGAUGUGUUUCUGAGUCUCACUAUCUGUUUUUGGUGUGUGUCCAUGAGGAAGUGAGAGAGAAAAGACUGACGCGGCGCAGAAAGCAGAAGAUCGCAUCGACACAUCAUAAGCGCCCACACUCAAGGUUUUGCAUUUAGCGCGAUGAUGCACACAUCAGAUUGCUCAGUGGAAAGAUAAAAAUAAAAACAACAUCGACAAAGUGAAAUUGAACAAUCGCUGUGUUUAAACUAAUUCACGGACCAGCAGUAUCAUAAUGUCACGCAUGAUUAGCAUCAUGUACGAAUGUGCCCAUUCGAUCGAGAAUUUUUGCCAUAAAAGUGCAAUAAAUCAAUACAGAGGUGUA